rnacentral:lncRNA from 1 species
GAUUUUUGUACCGACAAUAGACGCACGCCUGCAGCACCAGUCAGAACUUUGCCUUCGGUUCUUUAUUCUAUCGGGGCUGGGUGCCGUUGCUACUGCAACGCAUCUGGAACAAAGCUUCUGCUGACGUUUGUUGUGCCCAUCAAGAUCUAGCCUAUCUCUUGCAUUGUUUACAACAAGAAGCAGCAAGGGCUGAUUGCUGCUGGUUGGCUCGGUACUAAAUCUGGCCUCCCAAAUGCGAUGAGCCUAGCUGAAACUAUUGCUGCCAAAACGGCAUGCCACGCCCCUUCCAAGGUCGUCAAUCAACUCGAGAUUGGCACGCAGUGCAGCUUGCCUCU